GGGGGGAGGCCGGAUCCUGGGCUGUGUCCCGGCGCCCUGUGCUCUGGGGCCUGCGCUGUUGGAUUCGUGCUCCCGGCCGCGCAGACACCCU
rnacentral:pre_miRNA from 1 species